CUCGCUUCGGCGGUAGAUGAACUAAACUUGCAACGACACAGAGAACAUUAGCACUGCCCCUGCGCAAGGAUGAAACGCAAAAAAGUGAAGCGUUACACAUUUUU